UUCGUCUAGAGGCCCAGGACAGCGCCCUCUCAAGGCGCAGACACGGGUUCGAAUCCCGUAAGGACCA
rnacentral:tRNA from 1 species